rnacentral:tRNA from 1 species
UAAAUUUUAAGUUAUAUAAACUAAGAACCUUCAAAGUUCUCAAAAAGAGUAAUCUUAAGUUUAU